rnacentral:rRNA from 1 species
CUUCCUGUUUAACAAAAACAUGUCUUUUUGAUUAUAAUAUAAAGUCUAACCUGCCCACUGAAUUUUGAAGGGCCGCAGUAUAUUGACUGUGCAAAGGUAGCAUAAUCAUUUGCCUUUUAAUUAGAGGCUAGAAUGAAUGGUUGGACGAAAUACAAACUGUCUCGAUUUUAAAAUUUUAAUAAUUUAGCUUUCUAGUUAAAAGGCUUGAAUAUUAUUGAAGGACGAGAAGACCCUAUAGAACUUUAUAAUAUUUUUUGUAUUAAUUAUUUAGUAUAAAAUAAAUUUUUAUUUAAUUUAUUAUUUUGUUGGGGUGACAGGAAAAUUUAAUAAACUAUUUUGUUUAACAACAUUGAUUAAUGAAUAUUUGAUCCAUUUUUAUUGAUUAUUAGAAUAAGUUACCUUAGGGAUAACAGCGUAAUUUUAUUGGAGAGUUCUUAUCUAUAAUAAAGUUUGCGACCUCGAUGUUGAAUUAAAGAAAUUUUAGAGUGUAGAAGCUUUAAGUAAUAGGUCCUGUUCA